AUACUCUGGUUUCUCUUCAGAUCGUAUAAAUCUUUCGCCUUUUACNAAAGAUUUCCGUGGAGAGGAACAACUCUGAGUCUUAAACCAAUUUUUUGAGGCCUUGUCUUGAGCAAGGCU
rnacentral:snRNA from 14 species